UUAAAAAUAUAGCCUGCCCCCUGAGUAGUUAAAUGGCUGCGGUAAUAUGACCGUGCAAAGGUAGCAUAAUAAUUAGUUUUUUAAUUGAAAGCUUGAAUGAAAGGCUGGACGAGGGAAUAACUGUCUCUAUUUAAUUUAAUUAGAAUUUUAUCUUUAAGUAAGAAAGCUUAAAUGGGUUUGAAAGACGAGAAGACCCUAUAGAAUUUUAUAUUUAUUAUAAUAUUGGGGUGUGAGGUAUAGUUGGCUUUGGUAUUAUGAUAAUUAUUUUGUUGGGGCGAUAGAAAAAUUUAGUGAACUUUUUUUAAAUUUAUCCAUUAAUUUGUGAGUAAGUGAUCCAUAGUUUAUGAUUAUAAGAUUAAAUUACCUUAGGGAUAACAGCGUAAUCUUUUUUAAGAGUUCUUAUCGAAAAAAGGGGUUGCGACCUCGAUGUUGGAUUAAAAUUAACUUUUGGUGUAGGAGCUAAAAUGUUAGGUCUGUUCGACCUUUAAAAUUUUACA
rnacentral:rRNA from 2 species